rnacentral:rRNA from 1 species
GACAGAGGAGCCAAGCGUUGUCCGGAUUGACUGGGCGUAAAGCGCACGCAGGCGGAUGCGCGCGUGGGGUGUGAAAUCUGGCCGCUUAACGGCCAGGCGCCAUCCCAUACGGCGCGUCUGGAGUGAUGCAGAGGUCGAUGGAAUUGCCGGUGUAGUGGUGAAAUGCGUAGAUAUCGAGAGGAACACCUGCGGCGAAGGCGGGUUGCUGGGCUGACACUGACGCUGACAGCGCGAAAGCUAGGGGAGCGAACGGG